GCCGCGGGAACACCGGCGGCCGAGUGGUGAUCGUGAUUAUUGGGUCUAAAGGGUCCGUAGCCGGUUUGGUCAGUCCUCCGGGAAAUCUGAUAGCUCAACUAUUAGGCUUUCGGGGGAUACUGCCAGACUUGGAACCGGGAGAGGUAGGAGGUACUACAGGGGUAGGAGUGAAAUCUUGUAAUCCCUGUGGGACCACCUGUGGCGAAGGCGUCUUACCAGAACGGGUUCGACGGUGAGGGACGAAAGCUGGGGGGCACGAACCGGAUUAGAUACCCGGGUAGUCCCAGCCGUAAACGAUGCUCGCUAGGUGUCAGGCAUGGCGCGACCGUGUCUGGUGCCGCAGGGAAGCCGUGAAGCGAGCCACCUGGGAAGUACGGCCGCAAGGCUGAAACUUAAAGGAAUUGGCGGGGGAGCACAACAACGGGUGGAGCCUGCGGUUUAAUUGGACUCAACGCCGGACAACUCACCGGGGGCGACAGCAAUAUGUAGGCCAAGCUGAAGACUUUGCCUGAAUCGCUGAGAGAGGUGGUGCAUGG
rnacentral:rRNA from 1 species